UACGUAGGGGGCUAGCGUUGUCCGGAAUUAUUGGGCGUAAAGAGCUCGUAGGCGGUUUGUCGCGUCUGCUGUGAAAACUCGGGGCUUAACUCCGGGCCUGCAGUGGGUACGGGCAGACUAGAGUGCGGUAGGGGAGACUGGAAUUCCUGGUGUAGCGGUGAAAUGCGCAGAUAUCAGGAGGAACACCGGUGGCGAAGGCGGCAUCCUGGACCAACACUGACGCUGAGUGAGCGAAAGCCAGGGGAGCAAACGGG
rnacentral:rRNA from 1 species